rnacentral:rRNA from 1 species
GAAUGCUGACAUAAGUAACGAUAAAGCGGGUGAAAAGCCCGCUCGCCGGAAGACCAAGGGUUCCUGUCCAACGUUAAUCGGGGCAGGGUGAGUCGACCCCUAAGGCGAGGCCGAAAGGCGUAGUCGAUGGGAAACAGGUUAAUAUUCCUGUACUUGGUGUUACUGCGAAGGGGGGACGGAGAAGGCUAUGUUAGCCGGGCGACGGUUGUCCCGGUUUAAGCAUGUAGGCGGAGGUUCCAGGUAAAUCCGGUACCUUUUAACGCUGAGGUGUGAUGACGAGGCACUACGGUGCUGAAGUAACAAAUGCCCUGCUUCCAGGAAAAGCCUCUAAGCAUCAGGUAACAUCAAAUCGUACCCCAAACCGACACAGGUGGUCAGGUAGAGAAUACCAAGGCGCUUGAGAGAACUCGGGUGAAGGAACUAGGCAAAAUGGUGCCGUAACUUCGGGAGAAGGCACGCUGAUAUGUAGGUGAAGCCCCUGCGGGUGGAGCUGAAAUCAGUCGAAGAUACCAGCUGGCUGCAACUGUUUAUUAAAAACACAGCACUGUGCAAACACGAAAGUGGACGUAUACGGUGUGACGCCUGCCCGGUGCCGGA